rnacentral:misc_RNA from 1 species
UGUUAUGUGCAUGUUCUGAGAUUUCGCUCGGCUGUGCAUAUGGUUCGAUGCAGCCCUCGGAUUGUAGCUGUGGGCCUUGCAACUCAAAUAUAUUGUGUUGAUGCUCUCACUCUUGAGAGUAAAUUCAGUGUUCUUACCUAUCCUGUUCCCCAGUUAGCUGGACAAGGAACAGUAGGAGUCAAUCUAGGUUAUGGUCCGAUGGCUGUGGGUCCUCGGUGGUUAGCUUAUGCUUCGAACAAUCCACUGGUGUCAAAUUCAACUCGCUUAAGUCCG